AGCCCGGCGUGCUCCGUGCUUGAUAGCAGACAGCAUUAAAUCGCGAGCCUGUUUGGGCUCGUGAGCUGCUCGGGCUCGUGCUCGGGCUCGAGCUCAAAUUUAAACGAGCCUCAUUUUAGGCUCGGGCUCGGGCUCGUUUGACUAACGAGCCGAGCUCGAGCCGGGCUUUUAACGGGCCGAGCCCGAGCCGAGCCCGAGUAGCUCGGCUCCGGCCUAUUUCUCUGUAAUGCAAGCAAAAAUAUUGCCUGAAAAUGGAUUACACAUCCUUCUUUUCCAAACAUUUUAUGCGCUGGUGUGCACUGAUUCAUCCUGCAUGUGCAUACUUUGUAUGAGAGGUUGAUUUGCUGUAAUAUGAGUGUUGAUUAGUAAUUAUUCGUGCUGAUGUGAUGUGUUCAUGCACAUGAUCCAGCGUGAAUCAAUAUGGACUUGAAAAUACUCUUGUUUUCUUGACUAACAGGACAUGAUGGUACUACACCCUAUGA
rnacentral:lncRNA from 1 species